AAAAACUUUGCGACGGUUUAUGAUUAACUGUCGCAAUCUUCGACAAAUUUUGCGACGGUUUAUCAUAAACCACCGCAAUGUUCAA
rnacentral:miRNA from 1 species